rfam:Oryza glumipatula chromosome 3, whole genome shotgun sequence.
UUUAAGUGCAAUCAUGAGUUUUCGUGUCCAACUUUAAUAGUUCGUUUUAUUUAAAUUUUUUUAUAAUUAGUAUUUUUGUUUUUAUGAAAUGAUAAAACAUGAAUAAUACUUUAAUCGUGACUUAUGUUUUUAAUUUUUUAAAAAAAUUUAAAUUUAGGUACGAAAAAUCAUGGCUGCCCUUAAA